rnacentral:rRNA from 1 species
GAAUAUUGGACAAUGGGCGGGAGCCUGAUCCAGCCAUGCCGCGUGCAGGAAGACGGUCCUAUGGAUUGUAAACUGCUUUUAUACGGGAAGAAACACCCCCUCGUGAGGGGGCUUGACGGUACCGUAAGAAUAAGGAACGGCCAACUCCGUGCCAGCCGCCGCGGUAAUACGGAGGAUCCAAGCGUUAUCCGGAAUCAUUGGGUUUAAAGGGUCCGUAGGUGGAUGAUUAAGUCAGAGGUGAAAUCCUGCAGCUCAACUGUAGAAUUGCCUUUGAUACUGGUUAUCUUGAGUUAUUAUGAAGUAGUUAGAAUAUGUAGUGUAGCGGUGAAAUGCAUAGAUAUUACAUAGAAUACCAAUUGCGAAGGCAGAUUACUAAUAAUGGACUGACACUGAUGGACGAAAGCGUGGGGAGCGAACAGG